AGAGCCCCCAAUUUAACCUCCUAACCUCUCUGCUUUACUGGGCUAAACCUUCACCACCUGGAACUCUCCAGGUGCUCGUAAGCGAGUGCUACCCAACUUCCAUCACGAACUCGGAAGACCUGUCAUUUUCUGAAAUUUUCACAACUUCUAAGACACUAGUUAUUGGGGAAAACUUCAAAUUAUUUAAAUAAUGAGAGGCGAAUAACAUUGCUAAACUCAUGAACACUCUGUAUUUAAAAACUCCACUGGCGAUCAGGGCACACAGAAUCUCUACUACUGAUGCCUGACGCUGACCAUCCCCCAACCCGUCGGCCCACGGACCCCAGCCCUGACCCCACCUCCUCCCAGCAUCUGACACAAGGAUUCUCACCACACUCCCCAGAGACUCGCCUGCCCAGGGCCCCUCUCUAACCCCACAUAGCUCAGGUCUCUGACCCAGAGACAACAUUACCGACCUCUCCUACUAUCUAUUUCCAGAUUAGAGUCCCUGAUCCCAGAGGUAUUGUCUACAAUAACUAACUCUUACAACUAUGUCCACUUCAGGAACCGCCCUGUGACGUCAGAACUUUGAGGCCGCCCGGCCAGGGCUGCACAUGCUCAGUGAGGCCGGCGCCCGCCAGUAAUAAACAUGGCUCCCUAAAGCCGCUCGGGCUCAAGAGCAACAUGGAGACCUGCACUUCAUCGCUCCUCUCUGGGGGCGGCCAUACUAAGGAGGCAUCUCUUCCGUGCAGGCAGGCUGUCCUGGGGACCUCAGAGAUUCUCUCCACCGGCAGCGGAAAAUGGGCAACGGGUGGAUUCGGGUCCAGAUUCUGGCAGGAGGGAGUUUGGGAUCCAGAUCUGGAAAAAAGCAUUAGACUGGAAGAGGACGCGAUGGAGUCGGAGCCGCUGGCGGGGACAAAAAUCUGGGGCUGGGGAAGGCGCCGCUGGGAGGCAAGGCGCUGACGGACUUUACUUGCGCACGCGUCGCAGCCGUCUCCGCGCACAGUGGUGGCCAUCGCGGCUGGUGCCCCAGUGUCGGCGUGUGCCGGGGGCUCCACUGGGACCCGGGUCGCUCGCCCUGGGUCUCCCCUUCCUCAGCUGUACGGUUGGGACAAGAACAGUAACCCUCGCCAGUCAAGACAGGCCGGGGCUGUCGGGAGGGCCCACGCCUUAGAGCAGGCCCCUAUCGUGUUCAGGGCCCUGAGAUGGGG